rnacentral:rRNA from 1 species
UACGGGGGGAGCGAGCGUUAUUCGCAGUGACUGGGCGGUAAAGGGUCCGCAGGCCGUCGCAGGAGACAUAGUCGUAAGCCUUUGUGUGAAAACUCUGGUAGCACUAUGAACGCUUUGGGUGACUAGAGUGUGUUUUAAGAUGAAAGCGGUACCCACAGAGGAGGGGGUGAAAUCCGUAGAUACUGUAGGGGACCCUCAACAUGUGAAGACGGCUUUCAUCGACACGACUGACGCUGAGGGGCGAAAGCAUGGGGAGCAAACAGG